rnacentral:rRNA from 1 species
UACGGAGGGUGCAAGCGUUGUUCGGAUUUAUUGGGCGUAAAGCGCGUGUAGGCGGUUUCUUAAGUCUGAUGUGAAAGCCCUGGGCUCAACCCAGGAAGUGCAUUGGAUACUGGGAGACUUGAAUACGGGAGAGGGUAGUGGAAUUUCGAGUGUAGGGGUGAAAUCCGUAGAUAUUCGAAGGAACACCGGUGGCGAAGGCGGCUACCUGGACCGAUACUGACGCUGAGACGCGAAAGCGUGGGGAG